rnacentral:lncRNA from 1 species
CUCCGGGGUCCUCCCUCUGCCCCGGGGGUCCGUGCUGCCGUCCUGCGGGCCAGCAGCUGGCCUCGGCCCCUGACCCAGACUCGCCCUUGCUGCCCGGGAAGCAGGCUGACCUCCCUUCCGCUCACCGUGCACCGACUGGUUCUGGCCCUUCUGCCUCCCGUCCUACCUCUUCCGUAGUGUGUCCCCGCGUGGAUGUCCACCCACAUCUGUAGCAGAACAGGACCCAAGCCGACCCGCUGUCCGCCAGCUCCUCCUCCUGCCUUUCAGUUCCAUCCCCAGCCCCACAGCGAAGCCACCGAAGCGUUCACACCUUCCUGUUCUUCCUUCAGCCGUGUUCACGGUGCUUGGCUUUAUGAUCUCCUUCACAGGUUUCCCCAGUCUGGUUUAAUUGGCGUGUUUUACAGGAAAGCAGGCGUGAUCUUUGAUCCACACAGGCCACGCCACCACUUUCACGCGGUGGGCGAAGAAGAAAUAUGCUUUGUUUCUGUCUGGAUGACUUGAUCUUCUUUCAACCCAG